rnacentral:rRNA from 1 species
AUUGAACGCUGGCGGCAGGCCUAACACAUGCAAGUCGAGCGGAGCGGCGGACGGGUGAGUAAUGCCUAGGAAUCUGCAUGGUAGUGGGGGAUAACGUCCGGAAACGGGCGAUAAUACCGCAUACUAUCAGAUGAGCCUAGUGCGGAUUAGCUAGUUGGUGGGGGAAAGGCCUACCAAGGCGACGAUCCGUAACUGCUCUGAGAGGAUGACCAGUUACACUGGAACUGAGACACGGUCCAGACUCCUACGGGAGGCAGCAGUGGGGAAUAUUGGCCAAUGGGCGAAAGCCUGAUCCAGCCAUGCCGCGUGUGUGAAGAAGUUCUUCGGAUUGUAAAGCGCUUUGGGUUGGGAGGCGUUACCCACCGAGUAAGCACCGGCUAACUUCGUGCCAGCAGCCGCGGUAAUUC